UACGAAGGGGGCUAGCGUUGCUCGGAAUCACUGGGCGUAAAGGGUGCGUAGGCGGGUCUUUAAGUCAGGGGUGAAAUCCCGGAGCUCAACUUCGGAACUGCCUCUGAUACAGCACGUCUUGAGUCCGGAAGAGGUGGGUGGAAUUCCUAGUGUAGAGGUGAAAUUCGUAGAUAUUAGGAAGAACACCGGUGGCGAAGGCGGCCCACUGGUCCGGUACUGACGCUGAGGUGCGAAAGCGUGGGGAGCAAACAGG
rnacentral:rRNA from 1 species